rnacentral:rRNA from 1 species
GACGAAGGGGGCUAGCGUUGUUCGGAAUUACUGGGCGUAAAGGGUGUGUAGGCGGUUGUUUAAGUUUGGUGUGAAAUCUCCCGGCUCAACUGGGAGGGUGCGCCGAAUACUGAAUGACUAGAGUGCGGGAGAGGAAAGUGGAAUUCCUGGUGUAGCGGUGAAAUGCGUAGAUAUCGAGAGGAACACCUGCGGCGAAGGCGGGUUGCUGGGCUGACACUGACGCUGAGGCGCGAAAGCUAGGGGAGCGAACGGG